AUACGGAGGAUGCGAGCGUUAUCCGGAUUUAUUGGGUUUAAAGGGAGCGUAGAUGGGAGCUUAAGCCAGUUGUGAAAAGCGCGGGCCCAACCCGCGUCGUGCAAUUGGAACUGUGUUCCUUGAGUGGGUUCGGGGCAGGUGGACUUCGUGGUGUAGCGGUGAAAUGCUUAGAUAUCACGAAGAACUCCGACAGCGUAGGCAUCCUGCCAGGCCCUUACUGACAUUGAAGCUCGAAGGUGCGGGUAUCAAACAGGAUUAGAUACCCUGGUAGUCCGCACGGUAAACGAUGGAUGCCCGCUGUCGGCGACAGACAGUCGGCGGCCAAGCGAAAGCGUUAAGCAUCCCACCUGGGGAGUACGCCGGCAACGGUGAAACUCAAAGGAAUUGACGGGG
rnacentral:rRNA from 1 species